GCACCCUUAGCUCAACUGGAUAGAGUGCUUGGCUUCGAACCAAGAGGUUGGGGGUUCAAGUCCCUCAGGGUGUGCCA
rnacentral:tRNA from 2 species